GACGAACGCUGGCGGCGUGCUUAACACAUGCAAGUCGAACGGGAAGGCCUGCUUUCCCUUGUGGAUUGCGGGUACUCGAGUGGCGAACGGGUGAGUAACACGUGAGUGAUCUGCCCCCAACUUGGGUAUAAGCCUGGGAAACUGGGUCUAAUUCCCGAUAGGACUGCAGGGUGGUGCCUGUGGUGGAAAACGAUUUUCUAGUGGUUGGGGAUGAGCUCGCGGCCUAUCAGCUUGUUGGUGGGGUAAUGGCCUACCAAGGCGGCGACGGGUAGCCGGCCUGAGAGGGUGGACGGCCACAUUGGGACUGAGAUACGGCCCAGACUCCUACGGGGGGCAGCAGUGGGGAAUAUUGCACAAUGGGCGGAAGCCUGAUGCAGCGACGCCGCGUGGGGGAUGACGGCCUUCGGGUUGUAAACUCCUUUCGACCGCGAGGAAGCCACCUGGUUGGAAGGGUGGUGACGGUAGUGGUAGAAGAAGCACCGGCUAACUACGUG
rnacentral:rRNA from 1 species